rnacentral:rRNA from 1 species
AUUGAACGCUGGCGGCAGGCCUAACACAUGCAAGUCGAACGAGUGGCGGACGGGUGAGUAAUGUCGGGGACAAUGACUGAUGGAGGGGGAUAAAUACUGGAACCCGUAGCUAAAACCGCAUACACUCGGAUGUGCCCAGAUGGGAUGAGCUAGUAGGUGGGGUAAAGGCUCACCUAGGAGACGCUCCCUAGCUUGGCUGAGAGGAUGACCAGCCACCAUGGAACUUGGUCACUGUCAAGCAUCUUACGGGAGGCAGCAGUGGGGAAGAUUGCACAAGUGGCGCAAGCCUGAAGCACCCAUGGCGCGUGUAUGAAGAAGGCCUUCGUGGUGUAAAGUACUUUCAGCUGUGAGGCGGUACCCGCAGAAGAAUUCCCGGCUAACUCCGGGCCAGCAGCCGCGGUAAUAC